UCGCUGUGAUGACGCCUUUUCCUGCCAUUCGUAGUUUCCACCAGAGGUCGUCAGAACCAAAGAUGGUCCAAUCCUUCCUUGGAUGUCUGAGCGA
rnacentral:snoRNA from 1 species